rnacentral:lncRNA from 13 species
GGAAGCCUACCCAACUCUCUCCUGAUCUGUCCCUCUGCUUCGAUUCCCAGACUUCACACUGCCUCAGCUCCUGCUUUCUCUCUGAAGUGAUUCCAUGUAAGAGAUCCAGCACCUCCCAUCCUGUGUAUCUUUUUUUCUCACUGUCUGAUGGCUCUUGAGCCUGCUAUGCUGCCAUGGGAACCUGCGGGAGACAGUUCUGGCUACAUAACAGCAUAGAGUCAACUUCCCUUCAAGACAGAAGGGAAGGGAUGGAGUCUCACUCUUGUUGGCCAGGCUGGAGUGCAAUGGCGCAAUCUCUGCUCAUUUCAAACUCCGCCUUCUGGGAUGAAGUGAUUCUUCAGCCUCAGCCUCCCGAGUAGCUGGGAUUGCAGGCUAUCCACCUGCCUUGGCCUUCCAAAGUGCUGGGAUUACAGGCGUAAGCCACGGUGCCUGGCCAAGAAGAAUAAAAUUAUUACAACAGCUAGAUUGAUUCA